rnacentral:lncRNA from 1 species
UUCCUUGCACAAACUCUAUAGAUUAGGAAUCCGAGCCUCAUAAAAUCUCUCUCCCAUCCAGAUCUUAAAAUUGUCUAUCCUCUCAUGUAUCUCUCUAGUUAAUCGCUCUAUAGCAUCCAUCAUCCUCGACUCAACCCGUGUCUCUAAUGCCUCUAAAGUUGUUUGCACCCAAGGCCAUAUUUGACAUAACAACUUUUCCAACUGGGUGUCGAUGUAUUUUUGGUGCGCUGCUAACUCCUACUGCCAAUCCACUAAUUGUUGUAAGAACUUAAGAGAGACAAUUACCAUAUCUGAAGUAGACGGACGAGGGGCGUUAUAGAAGUAGGAGCUAAAGCUGAAGUAUCUAUGGCCCCCUCACUGCCUGUAUCUACUGAAGUCUAUUAACUGGAUGCCUAUCUCAAGAUCUCCACCCAACGUCGACCUCUCAACAUAGUCAGCCGACCCUAAAGGCCCCUCAAAUAGGGUUGAUCCAAAAGAGGUAAAAGUUUGUGCUUUUUCUGUGCAACUGGGUUGGCACCAUUAUGAUCAACCCUACAUUAGCCAGUCGGGUUACCUCAAUAUGAUAAUUAAUAGAUGGUAGCACUGGUACUCCCGCUGCAUCAAAUAGUCUCUAAAUCAAGUAGGGGAAUUGAAUACUAGUGACCUCUCAAAAAGAUCUCUUAUGAAUCUAACUAUUAUGCUGGCACUAAGUACUGUCCGAUCCAAUAUAGUGCAUUAUCCACUUUUGUCGGGCACAACCUGUGCCAAACUAUGAACUACUCAAACUUUCUUACAAAGUACAGGGUGGACUUCUUGAGAUUUUACUUUCUCUUGACCCAAGGGGCAUCUACACUAAGCUCAACAAAACUGAGCCACCCAUAUCAACAACUCUUUUCAUUGCUUUCGUUGGUCCAGAUCCCUCAUCAUCCUUUUAAUCCUUAUUAUCUUCAUUCUAUAAUUGAACUCAAUGCCGUCGGCCUAUCAUAACCCCGUCUAAAUAGGAAUCUUUUUAUCAUCUCCUCGAAUAAGUCCAUCCAAGUCUCUCUAAUUAGUGUAUGGGCCAGUAAAAGUUGGUCCUGAGCUUACUUCCCCGCUAGUAAAUCAAGUCAACGAAUGCAAUGUAGGAAGCAUAAAACUCAUGCACCACCUAUGGGCUAUAGGAUCCGAAAGUAUCAUCCAUCCAUUUGAGUCUAUAUCUAUCAAAGAUAUCCUUAAGGACCGGAAUUCAUCUAAAUCUGUGAUCCCAAUGCGGGGCUCUUCAGCUAUGCUUUACCUAGGUCUGCCCUGAUUAGUCAUCUCAAUAUCGUGGUCAUAUAUAAUUUUCAUGUUAUUCACACACCAUGUAACACCCCAACUUUUUUACCUUUGAAAUUUCUUGACUUUUGUGUUUGCUGCACAGGUAACGGCUCAUCUAACGAGUAGUGAAGACUCAUUACAAGUUGUAG